rnacentral:rRNA from 1 species
UUUAUUUUAAAGGGCUGCAGUAUUUUGACUGUACAAAGGUAGCAUAAUCAAUAGUUUUUUAAUUGAUGACUAGUAUGAAUGAUUUGAUGAAAUAAUAACUGUCUUUAAGAAAUUUUAUAGAAUUUAAUUUUUUAUUAAAAAAGAUAAAAUAAAAGUAAAAGACGAGAAGACCCUAUGAAGUUUUAUAGUAAAUUAAAAAUAGGUUAAUUUAUUUAAAUAUAAAGAUUAUUUUUAAUUUAUUAUUUUAUUGGGGUGAUAAAAAAAUUUUAUAAACUUUUUUUAAUUUAAGAUAUAGAUAAGUAGGUUUUUUGAUUUUGUAUUAUAAAUUAUAAGAGAAAAUUACUCUAGGGAUAACAGCGUAAUUUAUAUUUUUAGUUCAUAUAAAAAUAAAAGUUUGCGACCUCGAUGUUGGAUUAAGAGAAAUUUUAAAUGGAAAAAUUUAAAAAUUUGGUCUGUUCGACCAUUAAAAUCUUACGUGAUCUGAGUUCA